GCCUAGCUGGUCCAAUUGGAAGAGCAUGUGACUCUUGAUCGUGGGGUCAUGAGUUCGAGCCCCAUGUUGGGUA
rnacentral:tRNA from 1 species